AUUAGAUACCCUAUUAUUUAAAAUGUAAAUUUAUUAUGCUAAAUUAGUAUUAGUUACGUUCUUGAAAAUUAAAAAAUUUGGCGGUAUUUUAGUCUAUUCAGAGGAACCUGCCCUGUAAUUGAUAGUCCACGAUUAGAUAAACUUUAUUUAUUAGUUUGCAUAUCGUCGUAGUUAGAAUAUUUUAUUAGAAUAGUAAUAUUCAAGAUUUUUCAUUAAAAAGUAAAUCAGAUCAAGGUGUAGUUUAUAAUAAAGGAAGGUGGGUUACAAUAAAUUUAUUUUAGGAUAAUUUUUAUUAUAGAAAUUUGAAUAUGGAUUUGAAAGUAAUUUUAAUUUUUUUUUUAAAAUGAUUAUAGCUCUAAAAUAUGCAC
rnacentral:rRNA from 1 species